rnacentral:rRNA from 1 species
GGUUUGAUUCUUGGCUCCUGGGGAUUGAACGCUGGCGAUGCUUUACACAUGCAAGUCGAACGGCAGCACGGACUUCGGUCUGGUGGCGAGUGGCGAACGGGUGAAAAUGGUCAGAACGUGCCUAGUAGCGGGGGAUAACUACGCGAAAGCGUAGCUAAUACCGCAUACGCCCUUCGGGGGAAAAGGGACCUUCGGGCUUCGCACUAUUAGAGCGGCCGAUAUCGGAUUAGCUAGUUGGUGGGGCAACGGCUCACCAUGGCGACGAUCCGUAGCUGGUUUGAGAGGACGACCAGCCACACUGGGACUGAGACACGGCCCAGACUGGGCUGGAGGCAGCAGUGGGGAAUUUUGGACAAUGGGAAACCCUGAUCCAGCCAUCCCGCGUGUGCGAUGAAGCGCUUCGGGUUGUAAAGCACUUUUGGCAGAAGAACGGCACGGGAUAAUACCCCGUGCAACUGACGGUACCUGCAGAAUAAGCACCGUUAACCAGCCAGCAGCUUGCAAUACGUAGGGUGCAAGCGUUAAUCGGAAUUACUGGGCGUAAAGCGUGCGGCAGGUUCGGAAAGAGAUGUGAAAUCCCAGAGCUUAACUUUGGAACUGCAUUUUUAACUACCGAGCUAGAGUGUGUCAGAGGGAGGAAUUCCGCGUGUAGCAGUGAAAUGCGUAGAUAUGCGGAGGAACACCGAUGGCGAAGGCAGCCUCCUGGGAUAACACUGACGCUCAUGCACGAAAGCGUGGGGAGCAAACAGGAUUAGAUACCCUGGUAGUCCACGCCCUAAACGAUGUCAACUAGCUGUUGGGGCCUUCGGGCCUUGGUAGCGCAGCUAACGCGUGAAGUUGACCGCCUGGGGAGUACGGUCGCAAGAUUAAACUCAAAGGAAUUGACGGGGACCCGCACAAGCGGUGGAUGAUGUGGAUUAAUUCGAUGCAACGCGAAAAACUCACUCUACCCUUGACAUGUCUGGAAUCCCGAAGAGAUUUGGGAGUGCUCGCAAGAGAACCGGAACACAGGUGCUGCAUGGCUGUCGUCAGCUCGUGUCGUGAGAUGUUGGGUUAAGUCCCGCAACGAGCGCAACCCUUGUCAUUAGUUGCUACGUGAAAGGGCACUCUAAUGAGACUGCCGGUGACAAACCGGAGGAAGGUGGGGAUGACGUCAAGUCCUCAUGGCCCUUAUGGGUAGGGCUUCACACGUCAUACAAUGGUCGGGACAGAGGGUCGCCAACCCGCGAGGGGGAGCCAAUCCCAGAAACCCGAUCGUAGUCCGAUCGCAGUCUGCAACUCGGACUGCGGAAGUCGGAAUCGCUAAAAAUCGUCGCGGAUCAGCAUGUCGCGGUGAAUACGUUCCCGGGUCUUGUACACACCGCCCGUCACACCAUGGGAGUGGGUUUUACCAGAAGUAGUUAGCCUAACCGUAAGGGGAGGGCGAUUACCACGGUAGGAUUCAUGACUGGGGGUGAAGUCGUAACAAGGUAG